UACGUAGGGUGCAAGCGUUGUCCGGAAUUAUUGGGCGUAAAGAGCUCGUAGGCGGCUUGUCGCGUCGGCUGUGAAAACCUGGGGCUCAACCCCGGGCCUGCAGCCGAUACGGGCAAGCGUAGAAUUCGGUAGGGGAGACUGGAAUUCCUGGUGUAGCGGUGAAAUGCGCAGAUAUCAGGAGGAACACCGGUGGCGAAGGCGGGUCUCUGGGCCGAUAUUGACGCUGAGGAGCGAAAGCGUGGGGAGCGAACAGG
rnacentral:rRNA from 1 species